GAUGAACGCUGACAGAAUGCUUAACACAUGCAAGUCUUUGGCGAAGCUGUGCUUGCACCGCCUAGCCAAGUCGGACGGGUGAGUAACGCGUAAGGAACUUGCCCUGCAGUCAGGGAUAACAGACGGAAACGACUGAUAAGACCUGGUAAAGUCAGGCGGUCUCAUGUCCAGCCUGAUGAUAAGAGAUGCUGCAGGAGAGCCUUGCGUCCUAUUAGCUUGUUGGUGGGGUAACGGCCCACCAAGGCGAUGAGAGGUAGCAGGCAUGAGAGGGUGGACGGCCACGAGGGGAAGGGGAGACGGCACUUACUCCUACGGGAGGCAGCAGGGAUGAAUAUUGGACAAUGGGGGCAACCCUGAUCCAGCAAUUCUGUGUGCACGAUGAAGGUUUUCGGAUAGUAAAGUGCUUUCAGCAGGGAAGAACAAAAUGACGGUACCUACAGAAGAAGCGACGGCUAAAUACGUG
rnacentral:rRNA from 1 species